CACAUGCAGUCGAACGAGAGGAGAAGGAAGCUUGCUUCUUUCAAAUCUAGUGGCAAACGGGUGAGUAACACGUAAACAACCUGCCUUCAGGAUGGGGACAACAGACGGAAACGACUGCUAAUACCGAAUACGUUCCUUAGGUCGCAUGACCCAAGGAAGAAAGGGUGGCCUCUACUUGUAAGCUAUCGCCUGAAGAGGGGUUUGCGUCUGAUUAGGUAGUUGGUGAGGUAACGGCCCACCAAGCCGACGAUCAGUAGCCGGUCUGAGAGGAUGAACGGCCACACUGGAACUGAGACACGGUCCAGACUCCUACGGGAGGCAGCAGUGGGGAAUCUUCCGCAAUGGGCGAAAGCCUGACGGAGCAACGCCGCGUGAGUGAUGACGGCCUUCGGGUUGUAAAGCUCUGUGAUCGGGGACGAACGGUCAGCAGACGAAUACUCUGCUGAAGUGACGGUACCCGAAUAGCAAGCCACGGCUAACUACGUGCCAGCAGCCGCGGUAAUACGUAGGUGGCAAGCGUUGUCCGGAAUUAUUGGGCGUAAAGCGCGCGCAGGCGGCUUCUUAAGUCCAUCUUAAAAGUGCGGGGCUUAACCCCGUGAUGGGAUGGAAACUGAGAGGCUGGAGUAUCGGAGAGGAAAGUGGAAUUCCUAGUGUAGCGGUGAAAUGCGUAGAGAUUAGGAAGAACACCGGUGGCGAAGGCGACUUUCUGGACGACAACUGACGCUGAGGCGCGAAAGCGUGGGGAGCAAACAGGAUUAGAUACCCUGGUAGUCCACGCCGUAACGAUGAAUACUAGGUGUAGGAGGUAUCGACCCCUUCUGUGCCGGAGCUAACACAAUAAGUAUUCCGCCUGGGAAGUACGAUCGCAAGAUUAAAACUCAAAGGAAUUUGACGGGGCCCGCACAA
rnacentral:rRNA from 1 species